rnacentral:rRNA from 1 species
UACGAAGGGUGCAAACGUUGCUCGGAAUUAUUGGGCGUAAAGCGCACGUAGGCGGCUUAGCAAGUCGGAUGUGAAAAGCCCUCGGCUCAACCAAGGAAGUGCAUCCGAAACUGCUGAGCUUGAGUACUUAAGAGGAUCGCGGAAUUCCCGGUGUAGAGGUGAAAUUCGUAGAUAUCGGGAGGAACACCAGUGGCGAAGGGCGGCGAUCUGGGGAAGAUACUGACGCUGAGGUGCGAAAAGCGUGGGGAGCAAACAGG